GGCCCAAGAAAAAUGCAAAAAAAAAAAAAAAUUGUUCAUGUUCAUUUUUCAGUUGGCAUUUCUGACUACAGUUUUGUUUUGAUUUUAUUUUAGAGGGAGUCUUGCUGUUACCCAGGCUGGAGUACAGUGGCAUGAUCAUUAGCUCACUGCAACCUCGAAAUCGUGGGCUCAAGUAAUCCUCUCCCUCCCUACCUUAGCCUCCCAAGUAGCUACAGGCACACGCUACCAUGCCCAGCUAAUUCUGUUAAUUUUUUUUAGAGAUGGAAUCUAUGUUGCCUAGACUGAUCUUGAACUUCUGAGCUAAAGCAAUCCUCCUGCCUUGGCCUCCCAAAGUGCUAGGAUUAUAGGUGUGAGCCACCCAACGUGGCCUUUGCCAGUAUUUUUAAAUCCAAAUACCUAUGCAUGGUGCUUACUAUGUAUACAGUGGUAUUCUAAACAUGUUUCACCUAUUAUUUAAUCUUUAUUAUCAUCACCAUGUUACACAUAAGGACCCUGGCUAAAUAGCUUACUGAAAGUUACUCCGUUAAUAAAUCGUAGAACCUGUAUUCCAUUCAAGCAGUCUGGUGUCCAUGUGAUUAACAUUAGGCUAUGCUGUCUCUCAAAAACUCACCCUAAUUACCAAGGGAAGUAUUCUUAAGUCUAGGCUAUUAUAAAGUUUGAAAUUUGCCUAGUUCACAUACCAGAGAUAUAAAGAGGGAAUUACAGGGGUUGGCUUCAGAAUUUAGGAUUUGACCUAAGCUAUUCAGAGGGACUCAGGACCAGGCUCUUUCUUGGAGUUUGCUUAUAAAUCCAAAAUCUCGGCUGGGUGUGGUGGCUCAUGCCUGUAAUCCCAGCACUUUGGGAGGCCAAGGUGGGCAGAUCACUUGAGGUCAGGAGUUUGAGACCAGCCUGGCCAACAUGGUGAAACCUCAUCUCUAAAAAAAUAAAAAUUGGUGGGUUGGUGGGCUAGUAGGAUGGCAGAUGAGGAAGAGGACCCUACCUUUGAGGAAGAAAAUGAAGAAAUUGGAGGAGGUGCAGAAGGUGGACAGGGUAAAAGAAAGAGACUUUUUUCUAAAUAAUUUCGAUGUAUGAUGUAUGGCUUUGGGGAUGACCAGAAUCCUUAUACUGAGUCAGUGGAUAUUCUUGAAGAUCUUGUCAUAUACAGUUGAUCACUGAAGUGACUCACAAGGCAAUGUUCACUGGAAGACAAGGUCGAGUACAAGUUGAAGAUACUGUCUUCUUGAUUCAACAGGACCCAAGGAAGUUUGCCAGGGUUAAAGGCUUGCUUACUAUGAAUGAAGAAUUGAAACAAGCGAGAAAAGCAUUUGAUGAAGCAAACUAUGGAUCUUGAAACUUUUUGUAGUUUCUGAAAAUUACCAUCUGGGGAUAUCAUAUAUAAUAACUGUAUAUCUUCUAAAGUAAGGUUCUGAUAUCUAGCCAUGUAAAUGAAAGAUGGAGAAACACAAAGUUUUCAUCCUUUAUUUAUUUAUUUUUAAUUUUUAGAGACUGGGUUUCACCAUGUUGGCCAGGCUGGUCUCGAACUCCUGACCUCAGGUGAUCCACCCACCUCAGCCUCCCACAGUGCUGGGAUUACAGGCGUGAGCCACUGAGCCCCCAGCCUCAGCCUUUAUUUUUAUGCCUUUGAUUUCUGAGUGAUAUUGGUGCGUUUAAUUACCUGCCUUUCUAUUACCAUACUUGAAUUACUUACUGGGUUUUAAUGACCACUCAUAAGUCAAAGUACCUUGCAAACCAUGCAGUUCCUUCUGACUUUUGACUAUCUAAAGGAUAAAGCAGUAUUUAUGUGUUAGGUAUGUUUAUGCCCUUAUAAGCUAUACUGUAGCUGUUUAAUAUGUGAAAUCUACAUAGCAUUUUUGACUUGACAGCUCAGACAUGUACUUUAUGUAUUUGGAAGUUUUUAGACAACAACUAGUUUACUGUCUAGUUUAUUAUUAAACAUUAUUAAAGGUAAUUAUUAUUAAAGAUAAUGAACUGGGCUGGCCACUGUGGCUCACGCCUGUAAUCCCAGUACUUUGGGAGGCCGAGGCAGGUGGAUCACUUGAAGCCAGGAGUUCUAGACCAGCCUGACCAAUAUAGCAAAACUCUGCCUCUACUAAAAAUUCAAAAAUUAGCCAGACAUGGUGGCACGCACUGGUAAUCCCAGCCACUUGGGAGGCUGAGGCAGAAUUGCUUGAACCCAGGAGGUGGAGAUUGCAGCAAGCUGAGAUGGCAUCACUGGACUUCAGCCUGGGCAAUAGAGCGUGAAUGACUCUGUCUCAAAAAAUAAAUACAGAUAAUUAACUGGUUUACAUUUCUUUUAAAAAGAUAGAGAAAAUACAGUUUUUUGUAAGAAUGUUUAUCUCUCUUAAAAGAUAAUUUGUUUUAAUUUUCUUCAGGUAACAAGUUAUUAUUUUUAUUUAAGAAACUAAGUUUCCGUAAAUAAUGCUGUGUUGGGAGGCUUUUUGAGUUAAAAUCUUUUCUGACUUAUAAUAUCCUGUUAAGUUUUAGGAGAACUCGUUUUCCCAGAUCAGAGUCAAGCUUCUAAAAAUAAAUGCUUUCCGCAGCAGGAAUGGCACUGCUUAAAAAGCUGAUGGCAGGAUAAGCAUUUGGGUUACUGUUUUAUUAACAUAUUUGUAAGUACCUGUUCAUUGUGGAAAUGUGUCCUUUGUGGCUAAACCAUAUGUGGCUAUGGAAACCAUGUUUGUAGUUCUGGAUAUACUGGUUUUGUGUGUAUUUAGUCUACUGUAUUAAAUUAUUGCCCUUAGCUUAAAGUAAGGAUUACAAUCGCAUUUAAGUAGAUCAUUGAAUGUUAUUGUUUAUGAAACUUACUUUUGUGUGCCACUUAUAAACAUGAUCUAUAAAUCAGUGCUUGGGAAAGUUUACUUUCUUAACCUACUGAUACAAGAAUAAAAUAUGAACAAUUAAACAGGUUGAUGCUUGAAAAA